UGUGUAUGUAUGUACAUGCAGAUGUCAGCACAUCUUUAUGUACUCUUUUGAGAGUCAAGAUACUUGUUCCUUCAGUGGGAAUCUAGCCAUUUCCUAACAGACAAAUAAGCUGGUUUCUUUUCCCUACUCAUAGCUCCAGGCAGCAGUUUUGCUGGGGAUGCUGUGACAUCAGAAAUGGAUAACCUCAUCGGAAUCAAGGACUCAUGUUGUAGAGGCCAUGGCUCUCAUUCUACCAUAUACCAUGUGUAUACGAGCUGGCCUCAUUCUCCUGCCAUGUUGUUCUGAGUUCUGUCCUGCUUCUUAUGUAUCAGGUCAACCAAUGUUUUAUAAAUACACAGCUGAAACAGUGGCAUGCUGUGCCCCAAAAGGGAUAGGAUGUCCUGAAAGCUGGAACUGUAAGGAACUUGGCAGAGAAGGGAAGCGUCUGAUGCUUCUCCAUGUCUUGUCUCCUUCAUUUCUUCUCUAGUUUUUGUGUCAGUAAAUCUCUUACAUACCUAAUCCUUCUGCAUUAGUUACUUCUGUAUCACUGUACUAAGUAUCUGAAAGGAACAAUUAAGAGAUUUGGUUUGGAUCUUCGUUUUAGAGUUUUCGUUCGUCAUUGCUGGCUCCAUUGAUUCUGGGCUCAUGGCGUGGCGGAACACCCGGGCAGGAGGAACACAUGGAGCAGAGCUGUUCACCUCAUGGCUGCUAAGAACAGAGAGAGGGGUUUCCAGAAGAUGCUUCAGCAGGGUGUAGCUAAGCACACUCCCAAGAGACCUGCUCUCUCCUAGAACCUACCUCCUAAAAUUUCUAGAACCUCCCAGAAUAGGGCUGCCAUGCAGGGACCAAGCAUCUACCAUGAUGCUGUUAAGGCAUUUCAUAUUCAGAGCAUAGAAUCGGUCUUGGCCUUCUUUCCCAGGCGAUCUAUAUACAAGCAGUACCAAGAAUGUAUUGAGAAGAUGGGCGGUCCGAUGAUAACUUGAAAUGUAUUCACUAACUGUCCAAAGGCAAAGAGGAGGGUAGCUUGAUUGGUAGACGGGAAGUGAACAGUUCAUAUCAAAAGGUUUCAUUGAUGGUGACUGUCAAAUAUAUCCUGGCAGGGAAGAAAGAUGGCUUGAAAGCUAUGCAGUGGGAAAGUAUCCUCAAAGCAGCAGCGUUUGGCCGACCGCUGCCACGCUGGAUUCAUGCCAGUAGAGGAUAGAGAAGAGUGCUUAAUCACUAACAGUGUGGGCACAGGGUCUCCUGAGUGGCUUUCCAAGAGUCCCUUACUGUCUAUAAUGUGACAGGACAGUCAGGACAGAGCAGACCGGAGCCUGAGUAGCUAGAACCACAGAGUUCUCAAGGGUUGGUGGUGUUUCUUUAUGAACAGGUGUUGGGUCGAGGGGCAAAGGGGUUCUGGGACCCUGGGCAAACCCUGACCUGAACCUAAGAACUGUCACAAGGACGUGGAGAUGUAUGCCCUUGAAUAUAGAUUCUUGCCAGACACUCGCAGUUCAUCCUUUGGGCUUGUAGAGGUUUCUCCUCCCUCCUGGGAAGAGCUAGGACCUGUAUUGUGCAUGACGCUGCUGCAGACAGGAACGUAGUGUAUGCUUUUCUCAGCAGCUCCCCUCCUCCCCACUCCUCCCUGCUCAUCAAGGUUCAUACUCAGCGAAGCCUGGGUGGGCGCAGGCUGGAAUCUGUUAAGACAGAAGACGAUACUGCAGUGGUUAAUGUCCAAGAAUUAGCUAGACUAUCCUGGCGGGAGUCCAAGGAGUACUCCUUAGGCUAUAUUUUUGAGAGCUUGAUUAAGUGACCUGGAAUUCCCCUUUCUCAGGACUCCAAUAUUGUAGGGAUCAGGGAAAGCUCACUAUGAAAGGCAGUGCUUGGACGUCUGGAUAAAGCCAAGACCAACACUUAGUGAAGUAGAGAUUUCUGAGUUGCUUUCAGGAGAAAAGAACGCUAUAAUAGAAUGAAGUGCGAGUAAUAUUGGCUGGAGGAAGGUGGGAGUAGGCUGGAGAAAAUGAGUUCCAGAAUGUUCCCUCUUCACACGCAGUAUCCUGACAUUACAGUGAGGCUUUCAGGGUACUUGACACCUCUUUAGGUUUGAGGACGGUAUAUCCCACAAAUGAGAAUAUUGCUUUGCUCUGUAUACUGUGUGAGUGGACAGGGGCUGCCAGUUUUGAAUAGGUCUCAGAGCAGGACAGGGCUCUGUUGCAUGUACGAUGGCCAUAUUGCUUGGUCUAUAUGAUUGAACAGAUCAAGUGAGUUUCAUGCUCUCUGUGCAGAAAAAAGAUACGGUGGGCAGAACCGGAGAGAAUCAGCUCUCACAAUGCGGCCCCUUGGGAUUCUGGGAUAAAACCAUUCUAACCGCUGGAGAGAAGAACCAGUAGUGGGCAUACUAUUGAGCCCUGGCAGAGAUGAGGAUUCUGGAUUAUGAGAAGAUAAUUACCCAUUAUGAUUUGGAUUCUACUGAACAUUCUAAUUCAGAGUCGACAGGUGCAGCGGAAGUCCACGAUCACAUCCUGGCACAUCCAAGUAUAAAACUGAGUAGGACCAGAGGAAUGACUGUGUGACUCAAAAGAGUUUGCCCAAAUGGUCUUCAUCACUCUUCAUCACUUCAUCACUCUCAAUGGAAACGACAGCAACUCUCAUCUCGUAUCUGUGGUUAUGUGAGAACUUCAAGGAAAAGACCUGAUUUAUGGUCUGAUGGCUUUUCCUGCAGUUCAUUCUUGCUGCUGCUUCCUCAAUACAUAAUCUCAUCUUGGCAUCUGCCUCUUGGAGGAUCUGGACGAACACAGAUGGUUUGGACAUGUGCUACCAAGGAACAUCCCGAUGUUUAUCAUAUUUGAGUAGAAUUUCCUACUGAGGAAGGAAUACGGUGACCGAUUAACUAAGAAAAUGAACCCAAGGCCUCCUGCACACCAGUCAGGAGCUCUGUUGCCAACCUGCCCUUCAAUCCCACAACUCUAACUUUAAAGGUGGCUCUGGAGGAGUGCGUCUUUUUUAGCGUUGUCUGGGGUGAAAUAAAGACUUAAAGGUGUA
rnacentral:sRNA from 1 species